AGAGUUUGAUCCUGGCUCAGAAUGAACGUUGGCGGCGUGGAUUAGGCAUGCAAGUCGUCGGGCCGCAAGGCCAGUGGCGCAAGGGUGAGUAAGGCGACGGUAACCAACCCCAUGACUGGGUAUAGCCGCGGGAAACUGCGGGUAAUCCCCAGCGAUGUCCGCGGGAGGCAUCUCCCGGGGACCAAAGCUCCGGCGUCGUGGGACGGGCUGUCGUGGUAUUAGCUGGUUGGCGGGGUAAUGGCCCACCAAGGCUCUGAUGCCUACCGGGCGUGCGAGCGUGGCCCGGCACACUGGGACUGAGACACUGCCCAGACUCCUACGGGAGGCUGCAGUCGAGAAUCUUCGGCAAUGGGCGCAAGCCUGACCGAGCGACGCCGCGUGGAGGACGAAGGCCUUCGGGUUGUAAACUCCUGUCGAGGGGGAAGAACGGGUAACACCUUGACUGAUCCCUGGAGGAAGCACGGGCUAAGUUCGUGCCAGCAGCCGCGGUAAGACGAACCGUGCGAACGUUAUUCGGAAUCACUGGGCUUAAAGCGCGUGUAGGCGGAUGGGAACGUCGGUCGUUGAAAUCCCCCGGCUUAACCGGGGAAGGGGCGCCGAUACGACCCGUCUGGAGGAACGUAGGGGGAGCUGGAACUUCCGGUGGAGCGGUGAAAUGCGUUGAGAUCGGAAGGAACGCCCGUGGCGAAAGCGAGCUCCUGGACGUUUUCUGACGCUGAGACGCGAAAGCCAGGGGAGCGAACGGGAUUAGAUACCCCCGUAGUCC
rnacentral:rRNA from 1 species